GAGCAACGCCGGGUGUGGUAUGAAGGCUUUCGGGUCGUAAACGCACUGUCGUAUGGGAAGAACAGUUAGAUUAGGAAAGGAUUUUAGUUGGACGGUCCCAUUCCAGAAAGGGAGGGCUAAAUAUGGGCCAGCAGCCGCGGUAAUACGUAUGUCCCGAGCGUUAUCCGGAUUUAUUGGGCGUAAAGCGAGCGCAGACGGUUUAUUAAGUCUGAUGUGAAAGCCCGGAGCUCAACUCCGGAAUGGCAUGGAAACU
rnacentral:rRNA from 1 species